GGAAUGUCCGGCGUGAGUUGCGUGGCCAACCGUCCGUGCGGCUAAGCCCAGGUGCAGCGGCUAAGGCGCCAUUGCCUGGCGUUGGCACGUUACCUGCUCGACUCCUGGAGGGGAGUUGUCGACAAAAGACGGAGAAGGGGUAACGUGACAGAGAAAGUCCGGCUUUCCGACGAAUGAACGAAAGAGAAGCAACUAAGUCACGAAAGGGGGAAGACCGGAGAAAGAAAGAGAGAGAGAGAGAGAGGCGAAUUACGCGGCGAGGGUACCAGCGCUCAGCGCAGCGUCUGCAUUGUGCCACCGGAGGCACGUUACGCGAGGAACUUGGCCGAUGAUAUAGACGGAGAGCGUGGUGGGAGAGAUGGCUGUUAUCUAAAUUACUCUAUUUUCUCGAGGGACCCUUGCAAUGGAUUUUUUUUUCGAUCGUCUGGAACGUCGAUAUCGAAUCAAGGUGGGUGUUCCGGCUGUUCCACAGACACGGCCUCUUUUUUUUCUUCCACGUUCAUCCUUUUUUCUUUUUCUCUUUCCUCCUUCCUUCUAUCCUUCUGUUCCUCUCUCUUGUUCUCCAUAUGAUGCACCUUCCUCCUCCGCCAACGUUGGGGAAAUAAGUGUCCGAUUCGGAGCAAGUCGGUGCACCAAACACGAGUCAUAUUUAAUUUCGAGAUACUCAUCUUUCCAUUAGGACAACGACACGCCUGAUGUGCACAAGGCAGAGGACGUUCUACGGUAGGACGUUCGUUUAGGUUUAUCGAAUCCGAAACGAAGCAAUAGAAUCGUUAGAAGCACACGGAAGGGACGUUGCCCGAAGCUAAAAAUACUUUCUCCGUUUAUUAUCGUAUCUAUAUAUCAUAUGCUACGUAGCACGAGUAUAUUGCACUAUUGUCGUUGUACAGCUGCACCGUAAAUAUUUAUUCGUCACGCUCAGGUUAAACCGGGCACAAUCUGCUUUUACAUUUUACGACAGGGAAUAAUCAUUAUCUACGCACGCCCAGGAGACGCAGAGGGAGUAAUAACGAUGAAAAUAAAGACCGGCGAUCGACGAAUAAAUUGUAAAAGGAAAAAGGAAGUGGAAGGUCUUUUACCUGACGAGUACGAUUUUCACGCGGAAGAUGGUUACCUUUUUAUUCGAACGACCGACAAACGAGUGGAUUCUUCUUAGAAAUAAAGUGCUCUGCAAAUCGGUCGAGUGAGACUAAGGGGUGGGUGGUGCGGUAACGUUAAUACGGCCAAGGAAAGAUAAAGUACUGACGGAUAUAACAGGUGGGAGCAAUAUGGUGGCGUCACUGAAUGGAGGGCGUACUCUCACGCGUUCGGCGUAGUAUUUGCUCAUUCACUCGUUCCUAUUUUAUUGUAGCGCCGUUUCGUUCACGGCCAACCCGCCACCACGUGGAUUAGGGACAUUGAAGAUUUGUGAGAACGAGAGAUACUCGAUAUCUGUCUGCUGCUGGCUGGCUGCUUUCCCUUUUCGUUCCUCCGUAUCACCUUCGAGCAAGCCUCUCGUAUACAAUUUCGUAUCGCGAUAUCGCGAUACGUUUCAGAGACGGAGAUCUACAUGCUUGCCGAAUUAGAGCGUGUAAUCAAAUAUCUAUAGAAGCCCGAACUAGGG